rnacentral:misc_RNA from 1 species
UGGCCAUUAAUACAUGUGCCUGGUCCUUGUGUAAAUGCCAAUACCAUCUCAUGUACAAGAGAACCUUUUAGAAAGGGUCCUGCCGCUAUUUGACAUAUUAAUAAGGUACAGAUAGGGAAUAUAGAGCAACAAGAUUUUAAUAAUAAAGAGUAAAUUAGCUUAAGAAUAUUCUAUCCAAAAAUAUGGCCAAAAUACAGAGAAAAAAAGGUAAAAUGUUUGAAGGUUUCGAGGUCGCGUCAAUCCCCAAUAAACUUCCGUUUCUUAGAAGUGUUCAUGUAUGGUCGAAUCACCCACUCAAUCUGGGCUUCACUCUGGUCCAUCGUUCCCAAUUUUAUCUGAUAAAGCCGCAUUUCGAACCGUGGACCAAUCUCCUUGAGCUCAAUAGACUUAGGACCUCCAUGCUUUUCAUAGAUAUGAUGCCUGAAUGAAAUAUAGUCAGACUGAUUUGCGAAAGUGAUAAUGCGUUUAGUGUCUGGCUUUGGCAUUGGGAAAAGAUGCUUUAGAAUGUUAGCUGUCCUUUCCCCCAGCUUUGUUUUAAAAUUGUUAAGAAUCAAAUGCGGGUAAGCCUCAGGCAUUGUUCCAAUGGCUUUCUUGUCCUUGAUAUCAUGUCUAGUAACCACAUUGAGCAAUCCAAAGUAAGCAGUCGGACCAAAAGGCAGAUGGCUUAUAAUUAAACCAUCAGGCACACCACGAUGCUCAUGAACCAAAAUGAUAUCUGUAUAAUCAUGUGCCCGGCAACUUUCAAUAAUUUCAGAAAUAACCUGACCACCACGAUUGAUCCGUUCUGCAUUGGGAAAGACAAACUUUAACUCCUUUACAAACUGUAUAAGAGGGGCACUUGGAUUGCGCGAGGUAGUGAGCAAAAUUUUAGGAUCUCUUUCAGUUGCAUUUGCAUACUCAUCAUCAAUAUGAGUCUUUGGAAUUGCAGUGUUUUCAUCUUCGAGAUCGAUUUCCUGGCGAAGUGCGGCCUCCUCGUUUCUGAGCUCGGUAGGAAUGGGCUUUCCCUCAGCAAGGGCUUCUUUGAUUUUGCGUUUCUUCUCGUAAAGCACUCGCUCUUUGCCUUCUAAGCUCUUUCUGUACAAAUACUCUCUUCUCAAUCGAAUGUUCCGACGCAACAUUUCUCUGAUUGAAGCACCUUUUGAUAGAGAGCGAAGCUGUUAAACCGGAGGAAGGAGAGAGCUGAGAAUUUGCUAGGGUU